rnacentral:rRNA from 1 species
CAUGCAAGUCGAACGCGAAAGGGGCUUCGGCCCUGAGUAGAGUGGCGAACGGGUGAGUAACACGUGGGUGACCUGCCCUCGAGUGGGGGAUAACAUCCCGAAAGGGGUGCUAGUACCGCAUGACAUCCUGUCUUUGAACAGAUGGACAUUAAAGCCGGGGAUCGCAAGACCUGGCGCUCGAGGAGGGGCUCGCGUCCGAUUAGCUAUUUGGUGGGGUAAUGGCCUACCAAGGCGACGAUCGGUAGCCGGCCUGAGAGGGCGGACGGCCACACUGGGACUGAGACACGGCCCAGACUCCUACGGGAGGCAGCAGUGGGGAAUUGUUCGCAAUGGGCGCAAGCCUGACGACGCAACGCCGCGUGGAGGAUGAAGAUCUUCGGGUCGUAAACUCCUUUCGAUCGGGACGAACGGCUGGUGGUCUAACACAUCAUCAGAGUGACGGUACCGAGAGAAGAAGCCCCGGCUAACUCCGUGCCAGCAGCCGCGGUAAUACGGGGGGGGCAAGCGUUGUUCGGAAUUACUGGGCGUAAAGGGCGCGUAGGCGGCCUGCUAAGUCGGAUGUGAAAUCCCUCGGCUCAACCGAGGAACUGCAUCCGAUACUGGCGGGCUUGAAUCCGGGAGAGGGAUGUGGAAUUCCAGGUGUAGCGGUGAAAUGCGUAGAUAUCUGGAGGAACACCGGUGGCGAAGGCGGCAUCCUGGACCGGUAUUGACGCUGAGGCGCGAAAGCUAGGGGAGCAAACGGGAUUAGAUACCCCGGUAGUCCUAGCCCUAAACGAUGAGUGCUUGGUGUGGCGGGUAUCGAUCCCUGCCGUGCCGAANCUAACGCAUUAAGCACUCCGC